UCUCGAUGCGCGGUUCCCAGGUGCUCGGCUCUGCCUGGGCCGGGAGGUGCCGCCUGGAGGGGACGCGGGGCUGGGUGCGUGGCCCCUGCGGGGCGGACCCGAGCGCGAGCCGCGACCGCCCGGAGGCCCAAGGCAGGACGGCGGACUGUAGCUGAGAAAGUGGUUAGAACGGCUCUGAAGUCCUGCUCCGCCUGUCCUCUGUGGCCUCUGGUCUUCGGAUUAAUCAUUUGUAUAGCGCGUUUGGAUAAACUGGGAACUUUACUAUCCGCGCGUUUGUCGGGGAUUCCGCGGCGUUAUCCAUAUUCGAUUUGAAUCACCGAGCUGCCCCUUUUCAGAGCUUGGCUUCUUCCUGUUUAAGGAAGUCGGGUGCCUGGGCUCUGAUUUUUUUAAUUUAAAUUUGGACAAUUAGGUUACAAGGGCAGGGAUUUUGUUUUGUUCUCUAAUGUAUUCCCAGGGUUGGAACAGAGCUGGACACCUACGAGGCACUCAACAAAUAUUUGUUGAAAGAUUUUAAUGAGUGACACCCACCCAUCUUUGCAGCUCUUGUUUCCUAGCGAGGGCAUAGUUCAUCACUGCGAAGGUGAAAUUCUGAAAAUGGUAGUCUACCGGGAAUUUAAGUCUCAAGUGUUUAAAAAGAGUAGGUGCUAAUUCUUCACCAAACCUAAUUUUGUUAAAGACAUUAAACUCUCAUAAAAUACAGGAGUGCCAAGGAAACAAAAUCUACGUAAUACAUUGCAGCUCUGAAUACAAAUAUGUUUUAUUGUCUAUCCUCACCAUCUAGAAUAAUUCUGGUUUAGUAACAAUAAGCAGUAGGAAAUGGCUGGAAGGAGCCUUGAAUGGCUCAUUUACCAGUGAUCUUCACUCAAGACCACACCUAAAACUCCCAAAACAAAUGAGAAUCUGUUUCUUUUGUUUUUGUUUUUUAAAGCAGCAGAGACCCAAUUGCAAGACAGGCUACAUAACUUGCCAGUAUUAAGGGAAGAACAAAGACUGAAGAACUCAGUCUUUAAAUUUCAGGUUAAAGAAAUUUAUGAGACAUGACAACUAUAUGCAACAUGGACCCUGGACCUGAAAACUUUUUUUUUUCUUAAUUUAAUAGACAUUAUUAAGACAAUAGGAAAAAUUUGAAUAAGGGCUAUAGAUUAAAAAAUGGUAUUGGAUCUGUUAAAUUCCUGAUUUUUAUACUACUGUGGCUUGGCAGGAGAAUGUGCUUUGUGUUAGGAAAUACCCAGUAUUUAGGGAUAAAGGGGGAUUCAUAUAAAUAAUUUUACUCUCAAAUGAUUGUAAAUAUACAUACAGAAGAGAGAAAAUGAUAAAGCAAAUGUGGCAAAAUGAUAACAUUGGUGAAUCUGGGUGAAGGAAUUUUUUAUACUAUCCUUUAACUUUUAAAACUUUUU